rnacentral:rRNA from 1 species
UACGAAGGGGGCUAGCGUUGUUCGGAAUCACUGGGCGUAAAGGGCGCGUAGGCGGCUGUUCAAGUCGGGGGUGAAAUCCCGUGGCUCAACCACGGAAUGGCCUUCGAUACUGGACGGCUCGAGACCGGAAGAGGUGAGUGGAACUGCGAGUGUAGAGGUGAAAUUCGUAGAUAUUCGCAAGAACACCAGUGGCGAAGGCGGCUCACUGGCCCGAUACUGACGCUGAGACGCGAAAGCGUGGGGAGCAAACAGG